GCUAACUACGUGCCAGCAGCCGCGGUAAAACGUAGGAGGCGAGCGUUAUCCGGAUUUACUGGGUGUAAAGCGCGUGCAGGCGGUUCUGCAAGUGGGACGUGAAAGCGCCCGGCUCAACCGGGCGAGGACGUACCGAACUGCGGGACUAGAGGCAGGGAGAGGCGUGUGGAAUUCCGGGUGUAGUGGUGAAAUGCGUAGAGAUCCGGAGGAACACCAGUGGCGAAGGCGACACGCUGGGCCUGGCCUGACGCUCAGACGCGAAAGCAUGGGGAGCGAACGGGAUUAGAUACCCUGGUAGUC
rnacentral:rRNA from 1 species